GGCAACCUGGCCGAGCGGUCCAAGGCGCCACGUUAGGGAGUACCCUUAAUAUAAUCCCAGGAUUCCAUGGCCCGAAAGGGAUUGAGUUCGAAUCUCACAGUUGUCA